GUCGUUGGAACCCGGAAGGGCGUCACAAAGACGGCUGGAAUCACGGCAGCGCCAUCUGGCCGCGGUUCGAGACUCUAGGGAUGGUUAGGAAGUUCAUAUCCUGUCCGAGGGAGCUGAACCUCCGAAUUUAAAUCACGGACUACGCUCGUAGUACAUCUCGAUUGUCCCUUGUUGGACCGGAGUUCGAAUCUCCGCGCCUCCACCA
rnacentral:tmRNA from 1 species